AUAAGCGGAGGAAAAGAAACCAACAGGGAUUGCCCUAGUAACGGCGAGUGAAGCGGCAACAGCUCAAAUUUGAAAUCUGGCUUCGGCCCGAGUUGUAAUUUGCAGAGGAAGCUUCUGGCGCGGUGCCUCCUAAGUCCACUGGAACGUGGCGCCACAGAGGGUGCGAGCCCCGUAUAGUUGGCCACCAAGCCUAUGUGAAGCCCCUUCGACGAGUCGAGUAGUUUGGGAAUGCUGCUCUAAAUGGGAGGUAAAUUCCUUCUAAAGCUAAAUAAUGGCCAGAGACCGAUAGCGAACAAGUAGAGUGAUCGAAAGAUGAAAAGCACUUUGGAAAGAGAGUCAAACAGCACGUGAAAUUGUUGAAAGGGAAGGAAUUGUGACCAGACUUGCGCCGUGCGGAUCUCCCGGUGUUCUCACCGGUGCACUCCGUUCGGUUCAGGCCAGCGUCGGUUUUCGGCGGGGGACAAAAGCGGUGGGCAUGUGGCUCCCCCGGGAGUGUUAUAGCCCGCCGCAGAAUGCUCCGCUGAGGACCGAGGACCGCGCUUUGCUCGGACGCUGGCGUAAUGGUCACUAUUCACCCGUCUUGAA
rnacentral:rRNA from 1 species